UACAUUUAACGGUAUAAUUAGAAGGAACGAGAGCAUUACUCCUUACAUUGUGAACCCCAUAGAAGAAACAGGUGAAUAUAACAACAUUACCAAUAUUGAUUCUGAAAGUAGUAGUGACGAUAAUGAGUUGAAUAGUUUGGAAAAAGUGUCUAGUAGGCAAAAUGUUAACGAAAUGGGGAAUGAUAAUGAAGUGCAAAAUGUAAAGGAUGUGCAAGACAUAAAUGUUGAGAAAACUAGGGAAGACACACAAAAAGAAAAGGAUGUACAAGAUAUUGAGGGUGAGGGUGAUGGUGAAAAAAAUGAAGAAGAAGCAAAAAAUGUAAAGGAUGAACAGUACCCUAAAGAUGAUACUCCACGAGUACAAAUCAUUACAGAUACUAACACAAAUGAAGAAGCAUUACAUAAUUUAGAAAAUGAAAAAAAAGAAAAUGAGUACCAAAAAAUAGAAUCAUGUUUUGUAAAUCCCCAAGAAAAAAAUAACAAAAUGGACGUACCAAAUGCUAUAUAUACAAAAUUUAACGAUUUGUUUUUUAAUCGUUUUGUUAUGAAAAAAGAAGAACAAAAUUUAUAUAAUGACCAGAUAAUACAAAUGAAUAAUAUGACUCAAAAUAUGGACGAAACUAAAUCACCUAACUAUAACACAGAAGAAGAAAAAAGAAACUUAAAUAAUUUAAAAAAACAACAGUCAUCAUUAGAUGUAACAAUUAACAAACUUGGCAGUAUAAAAAAUAAUAAUGAAAAAAAUGAAUAUACUACUAAUACUACUUUAAAUGUAUUAUCAAGUAAUUCACAAAUAAAUAACCUAAAUGCAUUGUAUAAGUCAAAAACAUUAAGUACCGAGUUAGGAACACAUGAAGAUAUCAACAAUCUAGUAAAUUAUAAGACAAGUGUAAAAAUGAGAUUAAACAGUUCAAUAGGAUAUGUAAGUGCAGAUAAUGAUAAAAAUGUAAACAUAACACCUAGGACUUUUACUGAUGCUAUACCUACUAAUGAAAACUCAAAAAGUAGAAAUCGAAGUAUAAAACAAUCAAAAAAAAACAUAAUGGACAUACUAAAUAAUAAAGUAAAUAUUAAUUCUUUAAAUUAUAUAGAACAUAGUACACCAAAAUAUGUCAAAUAUAAUACUCUUCACAGAGAAAUCAAAAACCCCCGCCAACAACUCUCAAAUCCAAACAAAAACCCAAUCAACCAUAUGGUGUGUUUAUAAUUGAAAAUUAUUAUAUACAUAUGUAACCCCAUCACUGGAAUUUUUCUUAUUGAAAUUUGGUUCGAUUUGAAAAAUGAAUUAUGAACAUUUUUGUUCUAAUUCAUUAUGUAAAAUU
rnacentral:lncRNA from 1 species